rnacentral:rRNA from 1 species
UGCGUAGGUGGUUUGAUAAGUUGGGUGUGAAAUUCCUGGGCUUAACCUAGGAACUGCGCUCAAUACUGUUGAGCUAGAGUACUGUAGAGGAAGGUGGAAUUUCCAGUGUAGCGGUGAAAUGCGUAGAUAUUGGAAGGAACAUCAGUGGCGAAGGCGACUUUCUGGACAGAUACUGACACUGAGGCACGAAAGCGUGGGAGCAAACA